GACGAACCACACAAACGUUAUUCGGAAUUACUGGGCUUAAAGGGUGCGUAGGCUGUGCAGAAAGUUAGGUGUGAAAUCCCCCGGCUCAACCGGGGAAUUGCGCUUAAAACUACUGUGCUAGAGGAAUACAGAGGUAAGCGGAACUUCGGGUGGAGCGGUGAAAUGCGUUGAUAUCCGAAGGAACACCGGUGGCGAAAGCGGCUUACUGGGGUAUUUUCUGACGCUGAUGCACGAAAGCUAGGGGAGCAAACGGG
rnacentral:rRNA from 1 species